AUGGCCGGCACCAUCCUCGGCAGCGGCCACGGCUUCUACGUCAUGCACCGCAUCGAGACCUCCUACAAGGCAAGGGUGGAGGAGAGGCUGUGUCGAUGGCAAGCUGGAGUGCCUCUACCAUGGCUGGCAGUUCGAUGGCCAGGGCAAGUUAAUGGAGCAAUGAUGUGGUGGUAUAACAUAUCUGCGGCGGUUCUUCAAGCAGCUCUGCCAGUGGAGGAUCGCGUCCAGGGUAGAGGGAUCACAAGGACUGACAGGGAAUGUGCCAACUUCCUUUGGCAAAAUCUUGCUACCUUGCCAUAG
rnacentral:rRNA from 1 species